GAGGCCUUAAGGGCGACCCCUGCCCUGCGCUCAGAGAGUUCCCAGCUUCCCCUGCGGGGGGGUGGGGCGGUUGGGUAUCACUGGCCCGCGUUGCCAGCGCCCAAUUGACCGGCACCCGGGAACCCGCAGCUCCCGGCCUCCCGGUGGCGCUGCCUUCGCGACGGGGCCGUCGCACCCUCCAAAGAACGGGCAGCCCUGCCCUCUCCACAGUUUGUGGGUGAUGAGCAGCUUCGAGAGAGAACGGAGACCAAACCCUUCUCUGCGUGGAGAAGGUGAACCGUGGCUCUGCCGCCCUGUGAGAAGAGCAAGCCAACUGUGGAAGAUACCUGGACAUACGUUUUCCUCAUGGGCUGUAAGAUGACGCAAAGCAACCACUGUCACAUACUCUUCCUGGUUAGUCUUUCCUUCCAUCAACUGAGACGACCUUUUGGGGUCAUCCGGUCCCUAAUGAGAAGCCGUGAUUGGAAAUAGAUAAGCCAAAUUACUUCAGUCAAGCAACCUGUGUCCUUGGUGUUUCUAAGAGAGGUUGGUUUGAGGCAUUACAACAUGAUCAUGAUUGGAAUCUGGAAACUUGGGUUUGAAUCUCAGUGUCACUCACCAAUUACCAGCUAUGUGAACUUGAGCAAGUCUCUGAGCCUUCUUUUUUUCAUCUAUCUAAUAUGGGUGAUGUUACCUCACAGGAUGGUUGUAAGGAUCAAAUCAAAUUAUGUUUGCAAAAUACUUAGCACUAAGCCUGCUAAAUAAUAAGUGCUUGGGAAGCAGUAGCCAUUGUUACAUUAUUUUUCAUACACUCACAUGUACUCUACUCCUCUGGUCUUUUAAAUUUAUUUUAAAUAUUACUUUGUACCACUGAACUAAUAACAUUCCUUUCCCCCAGAAUAACAAAAGGCAGUCAGAGGUGUCAAGUGUUGGUUUUCAAACUAGUUCAGGUGGCAGGACUUAGAAAUUAGGGUAGUCAUUGUGGAACCCUAUGAAAUGUUGAUGGAUUUAAUUUUUCCACAUGGACUUGACACAAAUUUACUAACACUAAAUUUGGCUAUAUUAUGUUUAUUCAGAU